rnacentral:rRNA from 1 species
UACGAAGGGGGGCUAGCGUUGUUCGGAAUUACUGGGCGUAAAGGGCGCGUAGGCGGUACUUCAAGUCAGGUGUGAAAGCCCCGGGCUCAACCUGGGAACCGCGCUUGAGACUGGAGAACUAGAGUUCGGGAGAGGAUGGUGGAAUUCCCAGUGUAGAGGUGAAAUUCGUAGAUAUUGGGAAGAACACCGAUGGCGAAGGCAGCCAUCUGGACCGACACUGACGCUGAGGCGCGAAAGCGUGGGGAGCAAACAGG